GUGGGGAAUAUUGGACAAUGGGCGAAAGCCUGAUCCAGCCAUGCCGCGUGUGUGAAGAAGGUCUUCGGAUUGUAAAGCACUUUAAGUUGGGAGGAAGGGCAGUAAGUUAAUACCUUGCUGUUUUGACGUUACCGACAGAAUAAGCACCGGCUAACUUCGUGCCAGCAGCCGCGGUAAUACGAAGGGUGCAAGCGUUAAUCGGAAUUACUGGGCGUAAAGCGCGCGUAGGUGGUUUUGUAAGUUGGAGGUGAAAUCCACGGGCGCAACCUGGGAACUGCCUACAAAACUGCAUGACUAGAGUACGGUAGAGGGUAGUGGAAUUUCCUGUGUAGCGGUGAAAUGCGUAGAUAUAGGAAGGAACACCAGUGGCGAAGGCGACUACCUGGACUGAUACUGACACUGAGGUGCGAAAGCGUGGGGAGCAAACAGGAUUAGAUACCCCUGUAGUCC
rnacentral:rRNA from 1 species